GGGGUAACUCGGCAGGACGCCGAGUUAGCCGCACCGCGCCAUGGAUGGCGCGUUGCGGCGACCCC
rfam:Pseudomonas syringae pv. japonica str. M301072 contig3138.1, whole genome shotgun sequence.